AUGGAUCGUUCCCUGCGGGAGAAAGAGAAAAUGAGGGAGAGAGAAGGAAGGAGAGGAAGGAGAAAGAGAGAGGAAAGAGGAGAGGGAGGUGCAGCAUUAAUCGACGGCUCGCGUGGUGGUGCGGCAGACGGCGGCCUCAGCGGGUGUGCGACGACAGGAGGUUCCCAAGCCAGCUCGGACCGUUGUUACCUCUUCCUCGCCGCCCAACAGGUCGCCGUGCUGGGGGAGCAGGGUAGCAUCGGGUCCACAGGCUGGGGUGGAGGCCUUCCCAACUCAGACUGCGCGUCCUCCUCUUUGCCGCGUCAUCGCCCUGGUCAGCUGAGCACCAACCCGACGGCUCCGGCAUCCGAUGCCAACACAACGAGGUUAUACUCCAAUCAAACAUGUGAAUAUUUACCAGAGUGCUUCAAGAUCGAUUUGAUGAUCCACUACCGCUCUGCUGUUGGGACUAAUUUGGAUGGGAAUGGUGAUUUGAUGGUUGAUUAUGAUUACCUGGUUCUUGCUCUUGGAGUUACUGUGAAUACAUUCAACACUCCUGGUGUGAUGGAGCAUUGCCACUUUCUGAAGGUAGUGGAGGAUGCCCAAAAGAUUCGGAAGAGCGUGAUAGACUGCUUUGAAAAGGCGUCACUUCCUAACCUCAGUGAAGAGGAGAAAAGGAAGAUCCUUCACUUUGUGAUUAUCGGUGGUGGACCUACUGGGGUUGAAUUUGCCGUGGAGUUGCAUGAUUUUCUUGUCAAAGAUCUGGUGAAGCUAUAUCCUGCAAUUGAAGAAAACUCUCAACUCCUACUUGCGCUCUGCCUCUUCCUCCUUUUCAUUGCUCAAUAG
rnacentral:rRNA from 1 species